UAUGAGGGCUGCUUUCUUGUUCUAACAUGGAAGUUUGUUAUAUGUUCUCACAUGAUCCUGGGAAGGACUGUACUCUCUUUCAGGCCCUGUUCUAUAGGUGACACAUUCUGUCAUGAUGGUGAACCUCCUGGGUUGGUACUUCCAAAGGCCCCAACUCUCAAUAUUAUCAUUGCUUUAGAAAUGAAAAUCCAACAUGGAUUUGGAGGGACACGUGUUCUAACAUGAUAACCCACAAACUAGAGCUGGUCAUCAGUAGACGUGACCUGCCUGAGGGAUGAAGAGAAAGUGAAGAUGAAAGACAUGAAUGUUUCACCUCAGAAAAUAGCACAUUAUCCCAAGAAUUAAUAAUACACUUAGCAAUUAAAAACAAUGUUGUGAGAAAUCA